ensembl:lncRNA
AAACAAGUGUGAGGAGCUGAGGAUCAGCCCUGUGCCAUCCGCAUUUGCUCCACGUUCUGAUCUGCUGCGUCCUACUGAUGGGAGCCGUGAGCAGCUCAAUGAUUCAUCCCGUAGGUGGCUGCCUGUCACGGGUGGGUGAAGCUCUUCCUAUAAAUAGAUUGUGCAUGAGCUCACUGCACAUUUGGGGAAUGCUUGGAAUGGAAGGUGUUCCCAAAAAGCCCUGGGUAUAUCGUUAUGUUUUGUAUUACAGCUUGGUGCUAGCAGCUGACAAUUUCAAUAAUUGGAUCAACAUUCCUAAUGCAAAUGACAGCAGGUUUGACUCAGCUGUUUAUCAUUCUGUAGUGGAUAAAUUAUGUUCUAUGAAAAUAAUUUUAUUUCAGGUGAGAUUUCAGGGAGAUGGGAGAAGAAAAUUCAGUCUGCCCUUCGCAGAAGUUACAGAUCUCAGUGCUGCUGGCCCAAACAACAUGUCCUCUGACACAGUUUUAGCUGGACAGAAAUGCAGUGGUAGUUUCAGUUCAUGGCUAUGAUGUGGAUAAGAAGUUCAGUGCUACAGUGUAAUGACUCAGUGCUGUUUCUGCUCCCUGCUCUCUUACAGGCACUGUACAUCAGUUCCAAAUCCAAACAGCCACGCAUGCCUUCCCACCCAACUUGAGAUAUUUGGGUUUUGGAGUGUAAACUGGAGGUGGGUGAAGUGAAUAAGUUCUACAACACUGCUUUGCAUCUGCAGGAGUGCAUCUGUGUAUUUCCUGAGUGGCGUAUGUUAGGUGCCGAGAGAUACAGCAAAACCUGGGACAGCCAGACAUGCCAAUCAGUCAUUUUAGAUUUAUAUAAACUUUUUUUUCUUUGCCUUACAUCUAGAACAGUCUAUUCACUGGAGCACAACAAAAUUCUAGAGACUUGGUGGAAUGCUGUGUGUAAAAAUUCAGAUUAUAAAGCAGACGUGGCUACAUACAUAAUUCAAAAUGAAAUAAUAAUAAAGAUCCCAUUUGCUAUACAUUCCCAUUGAAAACAUGCCAGCUGUGUAAUAUCUGCUUGUUUCCUAGAACUGAAUUUCUGCAGAGCGGUGUCCUAUGAGACCAAGUUUGCCAAUACAAAAAGGUGUGUUG